rnacentral:rRNA from 1 species
AUUGAACGCUGGCGGCAUGCUUUACACAUGCAAGUCGAACGGCAGCGGGGGCUUCGGCCUGCCGGCGAGUGGCGAACGGGUGAGUAAUGCAUCGGAACGUGCCCAUGUCGUGGGGGAUAACGUAGCGAAAGCUACGCUAAUACCGCAUACGCCCUGAGGGGGAAAGCGGGGGAUUCUUCGGAACCUCGCGCGAUUGGAGCGGCCGAUGUCGGAUUAGCUAGUAGGUGAGGUAAAGGCUCACCUAGGCGACGAUCCGUAGCGGGUCUGAGAGGAUGAUCCGCCACACUGGGACUGAGACACGGCCCAGACUCCUACGGGAGGCAGCAGUGGGGAAUUUUGGACAAUGGGCGCAAGCCUGAUCCAGCCAUGCCGCGUGAGUGAAGAAGGCCUCGGUUGUAAGUA